rnacentral:rRNA from 1 species
UCUCCCCGAAAGCUAUUUAGGUAGCGCCUCGUGAACUCAUCUUCGGGGGUAGAGCACUGUUUCGGCUAGGGGGUCAUCCCGACUUACCAACCCGAUGCAAACUACGAAUACCGAAGAAUGUUAUCACGGGAGACACACGGCGGGGGCUAACGUCCGUCGUGAAGAGGGAAACAACCCAGACCGCCAGCUAAGGUCCCAAAGUCAUGGUUAAGUGGGAAACGAUGUGGGAAGGCACAGACAGCCAGGAUGUUGGCUUAGAAGCAGCCAUCAUUUAAAGAAAGCGUAAUAGCUCACUGGUCGAGUCGGCCUGCGCGGAAGAUGUAACGGGGCUAAACCAUGCACCGAAGCUGCGGCAGCGACACUAUGUGUUGUUGGGUAGGGGAGCGUUCUGUAAGCCUGCGAAGG